rnacentral:tmRNA from 1 species
GGGGCUGUUUUGGUUUCGACAUUUAAAAUUAUUUGAAGUAUGAUGCAGGUCGAAGCUAGUAUUCUUCGUAAAAAACAAACAAAUUUAUAAUAAUUGCUAAUAAUAUAAUGCCGUUCACGCGCAAAGAAGUAUUUGCAUAAAAUAAAAUAGCGAUUCUUUUUUAUUUAAAAAGAAUUUGUUCACUAUAAUUAUAGUUUAGAAUAAUACUAAAUAGAUCCAAAUGUUCAAUAUUGCGAACUAAACCUGUGAACGAGUACUUUAAUUGUUUUUAGAUGGACAUGGGUUCAAUUCCCAUCAGCUCCAAGU